CCUACGGGAGGCAGCAGUGGGGAAUUUUGGACAAUGGGCGGAAGCCUGAUCCAGCCAUGCCGCGUGCAGGAUGAAGGCCUUCGGGUUGUAAACUGCUUUUGUACGGAACGAAAAGGUCUUUUUUAAUAAAGAGGGCCCAUGACGGUACCGUAAGAAUAAGCACCGGCUAACUACGUGCCAGCAGCCGCGGUAAUACGUAGGGUGCAAGCGUUAAUCGGAAUUACUGGGCGUAAAGCGUGCGCAGGCGGUUAUAUAAGACAGUUGUGAAAUCCCCGGGCUCAACCUGGGAACUGCAUCUGUGACUGUAUAGCUAGAGUACGGUAGAGGGGGAUGGAAUUCCGCGUGUAGCAGUGAAAUGCGUAGAUAUGCGGAGGAACACCGAUGGCGAAGGCAAUCCCCUGGACCUGUACUGACGCUCAUGCACGAAAGCGUGGGGAGCAAACAGGAUUAGAUACCCUGGUAGUCCACGCCCUAAACGAUGUCAACUGGUUGUUGGGUCUUCACUGACUCAGUAACGAAGCUAACGCGUGAAGUUGACCGCCUGGGGAGUACGGCCGCAAGGUUGAAACUUAAAGGAAUUGACGG
rnacentral:rRNA from 1 species